rnacentral:rRNA from 1 species
GAUGAACGCUGGCGGCGUGCUUAACACAUGCAAGUCGAACGAAGCACCUUUAUUUUUUUCUUCUGAUGAAUAUCUUGUUGACUGAGUGGCGGACGGGUGAGUAACUCGUGGGUUACCUGCCUCAUACAGGGGGUUAACAGUUAGUAAUGUCUGCUAUUACCUCAUACGACCUCAGCUCCGCAUUUUGCCUGUUUAAAAACUCCGGUGGUAUGUGAUGGACCCGCUUCUGAUUAGUUAGUUGGUGGGGUAACGGCCUACCAAGCCGACGAUCAGUAGCCGAGAAGAGAGGGUGACAGGCCAGAUUGGGACUGAGACACGGACCAAACUACUACGGGAAGCAGCAGUGGGGAAUAAUGCAAAAUGGGGGAAACCAUGAUGCAGCGACGCCGCGUGAGAGAUGAAGUAUUUAGGAAUGUAAAGCACUAUAAGAAGGGAAGAAAAUGACGGUAACUGACGAAGAAGCACCGGUUAAAUACGUG